GACAUGUCUGACUGUAAGUCGCUUGGAUAAAAGCGUCUGCUAAAUGGCAUAUA
rfam:Salmo salar isolate Sally breed double haploid chromosome ssa15, whole genome shotgun sequence.